rnacentral:sRNA from 1 species
GGAUGCUGGCCUAGAUGGGCUGUGGCCUGAUCCAGCAGGGCUCCUCUUAUGUUCUCCAUGUGCAUCCCUUCCAAAACUGCANGCUUGGUGGAAGAGGAUGACCAUCCCAGAAAGGUGUAUGUCCUAUUCUUUGGUCAAGGAUAAUAUAACCUGCUAUGUGGAACAGGUUUCCAUAGAAGGUACCAUUCAGU